CGCGUAGGCGGACGGAAAAGUCGGACGUGAAAUCCCAGGGCUUAACCCUGGAACAGCAUCCGAAACUUUUUGUCUAGAGGGUAGGCGGAGAAAACGGAAUUCCACAAGUAGCGGUGAAAUGCGUAGAUAUGUGGAAGAACACCGGUGGCGAAGGCGGUUUUCUAGCUUAUUCCUGACGCUAAAGCGCGAAAGCAAGGGGAUCAAACA
rnacentral:rRNA from 1 species